GGGUCGUUAGCUCAGUUGGUAGAGCAGUUGACUUUUAAUCAAUUGGGCGCAGGUUCGAAUCCUGCACGACCCACCA
rnacentral:tRNA from 2 species